UUGGUGAGUGGCAGAUGUGUGGAUAUCCCACUUCGUAGCCCCUCAGCUCACCUGUCAGGCCACUUAUAAUAUCUGGGAGACUUUUUAAAUAUGCGAAAGACCUGCCUGCUCCAAGCACACCCACCUCUCAGGUGCUCUGCAUGAGGGCUUUCUCUGCAGCCCUGAUCUCACAGCCCAGAGUGCUAGGAAAUUUAUUGUUCUAAAGGAGGCAGCUGGAGUCCUGAGAGAGGAAGCACCUGCCCCCCUCCCGCUGGCUGGCCUUAAGGGGCAGGCCCACGCACCAUGCACCACUCGUCACGCGAGGGGCCCUGCGCAGAGCUGAAACCUGUUCUUGCAACAAAAGAUUCUACAUCCAUUUCUUGAAUGAGGAGACAGUCUCAGAGUGGUCAGAAUGGUUCAGAAGAG